UGGUUUAGUGGCGGACGGGUGAGUAACACGUGAGCAACCUACCUUUCAGAGGGGGAUAACAGUUGGAAACGACUGCUAAUACCGCAUAACGUUGUAAAAGGGCAUCCAUUUACAACCAAAAGAGAAAUCUGCUGAAAGAUGGGCUCGCGGCCGAUUAGAUAGUAGGCGGGGUAACGGCCCACCUAGUCAACGAUCGGUAGCCGGACUGAGAGGUUGAACGGCCACAUUGGGACUGAGACACGGCCCAGACUCCUACGGAAGGCAGCAG
rnacentral:rRNA from 1 species